rfam:Mustela putorius furo unplaced genomic scaffold scaffold00160, whole genome shotgun sequence.
ACCUGGGUGGCUCAGUGGGUUAAAGCCUCUGACUUCAGCUCAGAUUGUGAUCUCAGGGUCCUGGGAUCAAGCCCCAAGUCCGGCUU